AUUGAACGCUGGCGGCAGGCCUAACACAUGCAAGUCGAACGAGUGGCGGACGGGUUAGUAAUGUAUGUGCCACUGCCUGAUGGAGAGGGUUCACUAAUGGGCGCGGAUACUAAUACCGCAUUCCAUCGGCUGUGCCCAGAUGGGAUUAGCUAGUAGGUGGGGUAAACGCUCACCUAGGUGACGAUCCCUAGCUGGUAUGAGAGGAUGACCAGCCACACUGGAACUGAGACACGGUCCAGACUCCUACGGGAGGCAGCAGUGGGGAAUAUUGGACAAUGGGCGAAAGCCUGAUGCAGCCAUGCCGCGUGUAUGAAGAAGGCCUUCGGGUUGUAAAGUACUUUCAGCGGGGAGGCGUUACCCGCAGAAGAAGCACCGGCUAACUCCGUGCCAGCAGCCGCGGUAAUUC
rnacentral:rRNA from 1 species